CCUACGGGGGGCAGCAGUGGGGGAUAUUGGACAAUGGGCGAAAGCCUGAUCCAGCCAUGCCGCGUGUGUGAAGAAGGCCUUCGGGUUGUAAAGCACUUUCAGUGGGGAAGAAAGCCUUGGGGCUAAUACCCUCGAGGAAGGACAUCACCCACAGAAGAAGCACCGGCUAACUCCGUGCCAGCAGCCGCGGUAAUACGGAGGGUGCGAGCGUUAAUCGGAAUUACUGGGCGUAAAGCGCGCGUAGGCGGUCUGAUAAGCCGGUUGUGAAAGCCCCGGGCUCAACCUGGGAACGGCAUCCGGAACUGUCAGGCUAGAGUGCAGGAGAGGAAGGUAGAAUUCCCGGUGUAGCGGUGAAAUGCGUAGAGAUCGGGAGGAAUACCAGUGGCGAAGGCGGCCUUCUGGACUGACACUGACGCUGAGGUGCGAAAGCGUGGGUAGCAAACAGGAUUAGAUACCCGAGUAGUC
rnacentral:rRNA from 1 species